GAUGAACGCUGGCGGCAGGCCUAACACAUGCAAGUCGAGCGAGGACUUCGGUCCUAGCGGCGGACGGGUGAGUAACGCGUGGGAAUAUGCCCUUUGGUACGGAAUAGCCUCGGGAAACUGGGAGUAAUACCCGUAUGUGCCCCUUCGGGGGAAAGAUUUAUCGCCAAAGGAUUAGCCCGCGUUGGAUUAGGUAGUUGGUGGGGUAAUGGCCUACCAAGCCGACGAUCCAUAGCUGGUUUGAGAGGAUGAUCAGCCACACUGGGACUGAGACACGGCCCAGACUCCUACGGGAGGCAGCAGUGGGGAAUCUUAGACAAUGGGCGCAAGCCUGAUCUAGCCAUGCCGCGUGAUCGAUGAAGGCCUUAGGGUUGUAAAGAUCUUUCAGAUGGGAAGAUAAUGACUGUACCAUCAGAAGAAGCCCCGGCUAACUCCGUGCCAAGCAGCCGCGGUAAUGUCGUACGAU
rnacentral:rRNA from 1 species